UUCGCAAUGCCCGAAAGGGUGACGAAGCGACGCCGCGUGCGGGAAGAAGGCCUUCGGGUUGUAAACCGCUGUCGGGAGUUAAGAAAUGCAGGGGUGUUAACAGCGUCCUUGCUUGACUAAGGCUCCGGAGGAAGCCACGGCUAACUCUGUGCCAGCAGCCGCGGUAAUACAGAGGCGGCAAGCGUUGUUCGGAAUUAUUGGGCGUAAAGAGCACGUAGGCGGCUAUGUAAGUCGGUUGUGAAAGCCUUCCGCUCAACGGGAGAACAGCAUCCGAUACUGCAUGGCUUGAGUGCGGGAGGGGAGAGUGGAACUUCUGGUGGAGCGGUGAAAUGCGUAGAUAUCAGAAGGAACGCCGGCGGCGAAAGCGGCUCUCUGGCCCAUAACUGACGCUGAGUGUGCGAAAGCUAGGGGAGCAAACGGGAUUAGAUACCCCGGUAGUCCUAGCCGUAAACGAUGGGCACUAAGUAGAGGGGUUUU
rnacentral:rRNA from 1 species